rnacentral:misc_RNA from 1 species
UACGGAGGGUGCAAGCGUUGUCCGGAUUUAUUGGGUUUAAAGGGUGCGUAGGCGGAUUAGUAAGUCAGAGGUGAAAGCCCACAGCUCAACUGUGGAGGUGCCUUUGAUACUGUUAGUCUUGAGUGUCGUUGAGGUAGGCGGAAUUUAUGGUGUAGCGGUGAAAUGCAUAGAUACCAUAAAGAACACCGAUAGCGUAGGCAGCUUACUGGACGACUACUGACGCUGAGGCACGAAAGCGUGGGGAGCGAACAGG